UACGGGAGGCAGCGGUGGGGAAUAUUGCACAAUGGGCGAAAGCCUGAUGCAGCUAUGCCGCGUGUAUGAAGAAGGCCUUAGGGUUGUAAAGUACUUUCAUCGGGGAGGAAAAACAAAACUAAUAAUUUUAUUUCUUGACGUUACCCGAAAAAGAAGCACCGGCUAACUCCGUGCCAGCAGCCGCGGUAAUACGGAGGGUGCUAGCGUUAAUCAGAAUUACUGGGCGUAAAGAGCACGUAGGUGGUUUUUUUAAGUCAGAUGUGAAAUCCCUGGGCUUAACCUAGGAACUGCAUUUUGAAACUGAAAUACUAGAGUAUCGUAGAGGGAGGUAGAAUUCUAGGUGUAGCGGUGAAAUGCGUAGAUAUCUGGAGGAAUACCUGUGGCGAAAGCGGCCUCCUAAACGAAUACUGACACUGAGGUGCGAAAGCGUGGGGAGCAAACAGGGAUUAGAUACC
rnacentral:rRNA from 1 species